AAACCAGGAAUUCAAAUGGUAAAAAUAGUUGUGGAAAUAAAUUGAAAAUUUAUUAUAAAUUAAAUAUAAUUAAUGGCAAUUUUGUGAGUGACAACAGCCUUAGUGGUGUUGUCGGUGGUGAUAGCAGCUUAAGUGAUGAAACAGAUGUAAGUAAUGACAUGAAUGUAAGUAAUGACAUGAAUGUAAGUUAUGGUAACCGUUUAAGGGGUGAGAACUUGAGUGACAAUGAUGACUACGAUAAAAACUCAUACAUAAAAAAAAAAAAAAAUUUAAAAAUUGAAGAAAGCGUUCCCAAAAAAAAGAAUUUAAAAAAAUAUUAUAAAUAUACAUCGUGGAAUAAUACAAAAGAAAUGGAUAAUUUUAGUGUAGACAAAUAUGAUGCGUUUCAGUAUACUAGUACUAAUAUAAAAAAUGAUAAAGAUAAAAAUAAUAUGAAUGAAAAAAAAUACCAUUCAGCUUAUUAUUCUGUUGUAAAAAAUGAUGAUGAUGGUGAUGGUGGUGGUGAUAAUAUACAGAAUAAUAGUAGUUCAUAUCAUAGGGAUAAAAAUAAAGAUGAUAAAAAUAAGAAUACUAGACAUAUAAAUAUAACAAUAAAUAAAGAAUUAGUAGAUACAUUAUCAGUUGAAGAAGUGUUAGGAGUUUUAGAAAAGUAUAGUAAAAUGGGAUUACAUAAAACAGAUGGAAGUGAAAUAGGUUCAACAAAAAUGAAUGCAACAGACACCUCUGAAAAAAUGAGAAAAAAAGAAAAAGUAGAUACGGACAUGAAAACACAAGAAAAUACGAAAGCAUUGUCAUAUGAACAUAUUUUUAACGAAGUAAACAUAGUAACUGCAUAUCACAGAAUUGCUAAACACAUUAAAAAUAAAAAUUAUUUUUUUAAAGAAAAUGCAAAAGAUGAAAAGGAGAUAAUUGGAAGGUGUUAUGAUGACAUGACUUUUAGUUUGUUUCAAAAGUAUACAAAUAUAAAUAAGGAAAAAAUCAAUAACUUUGAACAUGUUAAGUCUUAUUUAGGAAGUACGGCUGAUAAUGUUAGGGACGACACAACGACAUGUGAUAGUGUUAUAAAAAAUGAUGACAAUGUGAGUGAUAAAACAAAAGUGAACAACUUAGAAUGUAAUAAAAGAGAUAACGAAAAAACGCAAAAAGAAAAUAAAAAAAGUUUAACUUUCCAUGACUUAAUAAAUUACGACCAUUCAAAUUUAUGUAAUAUAAGUAUAUAUAACAAUAUAUAUAUAUUGUUAAAAAAAAUGUUAACACAUAAUGGUAUAGUCACACCAAAACAUGUUGCUAAUAUUGCAUGGGCUGCAUGUAUAUUAUCAAAUUAUGAUGAUGUGCUAUGGUCAGCUAUUAAAAAAAAAUUUUAUGAAGAUAUAAAUAAAUUUAAAGCUCAAGAAGUGUCAGCUAUUUUAUGGUCAUUUAGUGCAUCCAAAAAAAGUUUUAUCGAUUCACAUGAAGAGUUUAUAAUUUUAUAUAAAUGUUUAGAAGGUCAUAUAAUGAAUAAAACAUUUAAGGCGCAAGAGUUUAGUAAUAUAAUGUGGGC
rnacentral:lncRNA from 1 species